GGGGAUGAUCGGUUUCGACAGCGAUGAUUGAUCGAUGUGAAGCGGGCCGAGGAUGUGUACUGACCUCGUUAACCAUGUAUGCAAACCAAUAGGUGCCAAACAAAACCGCACCGACUUCGUACUCGCAGCCUAAGCUAGCGAGCAAGUCCGUCAGACCAGGUGAAGCUCUUAGCCUGGACCCUGGCGUCGUUUUAAGAGCCACUGGGUGACAGCCUCGUUGACGGGUUGCUACCGACACUUAGUUAACUGAGCCGACCACUGUUGCGUCUACACAUAGGUGGCGGCUGAGAAAUAACUCGUAGACUGCGCCCGGAGAAGCCAUGGACUGUCCUCGUUGGACGCGGGUUCGAUUCCCGCCAUCUCCACAG
rnacentral:tmRNA from 1 species